rnacentral:rRNA from 1 species
UACGAAGGGGGCUAGCGUUGCUCGGAUUUACUGGGCGUAAAGGGCGCGUAGGCGGACAGUUAAGUCGGGGGUGAAAGCCCGGGGCUCAACCUCGGAAUUGCCUUCGAUACUGACUGUCUUGAGUACGGGAGAGGUGUGUGGAACUCCGAGUGUAGAGGUGAAAUUCGUAGAUAUUCGGAAGAACACCAGUGGCGAAGGCGACACACUGGCCCGUUACUGACGCUGAGGCGCGAAAGCGUGGGGAGCAAACAGG